rnacentral:tRNA from 1 species
GUCCCUGUGGUGAAACGGAUAUCACAUUUGCCUUCGAAGCAAAAAGUGGGGGUUCAAUUCCCUCCAGGGACA